UAAAGACAUUAGGUUGUUCUGUUACUGUAACUAACUGGUCAUGUAAUAAAGACAUUAGGUUGUUCUGUUACUGUAACUAACUGGUCAUGUAAUAAAGACAUUAGGUUGUUCUGUUACUGUAACUAACUGGUCAUGUAAUAAAGACAUUAGGUUGUUCUGUUACUGUAACUAACUGGUCAUGUAAUAAAGACAUUAGGUUGUUCUCAGAAUGGUUAGAGAUUUGUAAAGGGUUGUAAAAUACCGGUAACUUUCCAAAAAUUCCCAGGUUUUCCAGAAAUCCCGGUUGGAUGUGUCCCUGAAUCAUAAGGGUAUAAGCAGGAAAUCCCGGUUGGAUGUAACCCUGAAUCAUAAGGGUAUAAGCAGGAAAUCCCGGUUGGAUGUAACCCUGAAUCAUAAGGGUAUAAGCAGGAAAUCCAGAAUCCUCCAACCAGGAUUUCUGGAAAACCUUUGCAUUUCAGAUAAGUUAACGGAAUUUUGCAAACCCUGUAAAGGGUUCAACCCCAGUUCCAGACACCAGUCAAUAUUCCUCAAUCCAUUCCUAGGGGAUCCUCAGGGGGUGCAUGUUUUUGUUCUACCCCAGCACUAGCACAUUCAGGUGCUGAGCCAGAACAACCCCCAAGUGAUGCAGCAGGCGCUAACAAACCUGAUUAGAAUGAGGUUUAUUAGUGAUGGGCUAGAACAAAAACCAGUACCCCCAGGAAUGGCUUGAGCAACACUGUCAUACACAUCUAACCGUUAAGCCUAAUAUGUGUCUCAUCAUCAAAAUCCACAUUAGACAUUUUCUAUAACAACAGAAUGUAUUCCUAGAUAUAGUGUAUAUAAACUACCGUUCAAACGUUUGGGGUCACUUAGAAAUGUCCUUGUUUUUGAAAGAAAAGCAAUUUUUUUUGUCCAUUAAAAUAACAUCAAAUCGAUCAGAAAUACAGUGUAGACAUUGUUAAUGUUGUAAAUGACUAUUGUGGCUGAAAACAGUAUAUUUCUUUAAAAUUGAAUAUCUACACAGGGCAAUAGAACACACACUGGACAGAGGAACUCUGCCUAGAAUGCCAGCAUCCCGAUGUCGCCUCUUCACUGUUGACGUUAAGACUGGUGUUUUGCGGGUACUAUUUAAUGAAGCUGCCAGUUGAGGACUUGUGAGGCGCCUGUUUCUCAAACUAGACACUCUAAUGUACUUGUCGUCUUGCUCAGUUGUGCACCGGGGCCUCCCACUCCUCUUUCUAUUCUGUUUAGAGUCAGUUUGCACUGUUCUGUGAAGGGAGUAGUACACAACGUUGUACGAGAUCUUCAGUUUCUAGGCAAUCUCUCGCAUGGAAUAGCCUUCAUUUCUCAAAGAACAAGAAUAGACUGCCGAGUUUCAGAAGAAAGUUAUUUGUUUCUGGCCAUUUUGAGCUUGUAAUCGAACCCACAAAUGCUGAUGCUCCAGAUACUCAACUAGUAUAAAGAAGGCCAGUUUUAUUGCUUCUUUAAUCAGACCAACAGUUUUCAGCUGUGUUAAUAUAAUUGCAAAAGGGUUUUCUAAUGAUCAAUUAGUCUUUUAAAAUGAUAAACUUGGAUUAGCUAACACAACAUGCCAUUGGAACACAGGAGUGAUGGUUGCUGCUAAUGGGCCUCUAGAUGCCUAUCUAGAUAUUCCAUAAAAAAUCUGCCAUUUCCAGCUACAAUAGUCAUUUACAACAUUAACAAUGUCUACACUGUAUUUCUGAUCAAUUUGAUGUUAUUUUAAUGGACAAAAAAAUAUGCUUUUCUUUCAAAAACAAGGACAUUUCUAAGUGACCCCAAACUUUUGAACGGUAGUGUACAUUUGAACGGUAGUGUACACCUUCCACCAAGAACAGGUGGAAGGUGAUUCAAUACACAGAAGUGAAAGGAUAAGUCAUUCUGGAGUGUCAUAUUUUCAUAUCGAGACGGAACAGGUUUUCAGUGAUUACAGCGUGAUACUAAGGCAGAAGCCAGGAUUUCAUACAGCAACAACGGUGGAUGCCUAACAAGGCCAGCUCAGUACAGCUUGGUUUGGAUCGGCUCUGUUCGGCCCAGUAGUGUGAAAAGCCCUUUAGAGCCGCAUAAAUGAAUGACAGGUGUAAGACAGACACCCCCACACCAGAAAUAAGCUGCACCCCAUUUUUUUCUAUUGAAUAUGAAUAAAAAUCCAUCUUGUAAAUAUAUACUUGAAUAGGCAAGUUUGAGGUGAAACACAGCUGCCCUCCGUUUCAAUGGGUAUGACACCUCUCCCCUAAUGCCCCCUCCCC
rnacentral:lncRNA from 1 species